UUCUAAGAGUCUGAAGAUAGCUACAGUGU
rnacentral:piRNA from 1 species